UACACUCCUGCGGGAGGCAGCAGUGGGGAAUAUUGGACAAUGGGCGCAAGCCUGAUCCAGCCAUGCCGCGUGAGUGAUGAAGGCCCUAGGGUUGUAAAGCUCUUUCACCGGUGAAGAUAAUGACGGUAACCGGAGAAGAAGCCCCGGCUAACUUCGUGCCAGCAGCCGCGGUAAUACGAAGGGGGCUAGCGUUGUUCGGAUUUACUGGGCGUAAAGCGCACGUAGGCGGACUAUUAAGUCAGGGGUGAAAUCCCGGGGCUCAACCCCGGAACUGCCUUUGAUACUGGUAGUCUUGAGUUCGAGAGAGGUGAGUGGAAUUCCGAGUGUAGAGGUGAAAUUCGUAGAUAUUCGGAGGAACACCAGUGGCGAAGGCGGCUCACUGGCUCGAUACUGACGCUGAGGUGCGAAAGCGUGGGGAGCAAACAGGAUUAGAUACCCGAGUAGUCCC
rnacentral:rRNA from 1 species